rnacentral:lncRNA from 1 species
CUACAAGAACCCAGGGAAGCCAGAUGGAGUUAACUACAUCAGGACAGAUGAGGAGGGCGACUUCAGACACAAGUCCUCGUUCGUGAUCUAGAUGGUGGCACGGCUGUGUGUACACGCAGACACCUCCAUGGGGAACCCUGCCAGGAGCAGCCCUGCAAGGGGCGCCGGAUGGGGCUAGACACGCACACAAAAGCUUUUGUUUUGGCCAAAGUUGACCGCUACUCCUUUCUUACUUUUUAACAAGCUACACGAAUAAAAGAGUUUUCCUGGAGAUGAGCAAGUCACCAGAAGGCGAGGAAGUGGCCGGGUUCACGAAGCCAACCCCGUGGGGUCUGCUGGCCUUGAGGUGGGCCGCCUGGGCUCAGGAGGCACGGUGACCUGUCCCAUGGUGGGGCCACGCCAGCAUGAGCAUCCAAGGCUGGCAGCCAGGGUCAUGACCUGAGCCUUGGCUGCAGUGACGGGGCUUCACGGUGGCCCCGGGGCCACUUCAUCCCCAGGCUUUGCCAUGAUAGUCCUGGUGUCCAUCCGGGGGAUUCUGUUUGGGUCAGCAUUUUAUAACAGCAGCCCAAAUCAGGACAGUAAACAGCUUGUUAGAAGGAGGGAUCUUCUUAGCUGUGGGAACCCUGCUCAUCUACAGAGGGUCCCAGCAUUGGAGAGCCUUCAUCUUGUGCUGAAUCUGAAAUGGUACUGACAUGAUGUUCUGCUUUUCUAUGGGUGUUUAUUUUAUAAAAUUUUACAGUCUAAAUUUUUGCUAAAGAUGUAUUUUGAUUAUUGAAAAUUUCUAUUUAAAUUGUAAAUAAGUUGUCAUAUGCUGUUAAAUACUGUAUCUUUUUUUUUUUUAAGUUCAACUUAAACUAGGAGCCCAAACUGCUCCUGUUCAAUUGGAAACACCACUGGUGGCUUAGGAAACCUUUGAGAAAACUCCAGCUGAGUAACCUCAUGGUCUAUUUGUGUCUGUGCAGAAGAGACGCAGGGCUCCUGGAUGACCUUCCCUGGGCCUACCCCCACCCCUAUCCCAGGCCCUACGACACAGGUGCACCAGCCGCAUGCCUAUUCGGAGCAGUAUUGGCUCCUGAGUCUCCAGGCCAGCCCUCCUGCCCUCAUCCACCUGAUGCCGCGACCGUCCUGGCCCUCAUCACAGGGGGUAUCUGCUGUGCCUAUAGACGUGGCUACUUCAUCAGCCACAGCCGGAACGGGGAAAGGUGGGCAGAACAGCUGUGACAGUGCCGUUCACCUGCCAUGUAGGUCCACCCAGGAUAGCGCCAAGGGGGCUGGAAGAGUGGGGUCCUCCAUGUGGCCCCCCAGCCUGGCUUCCCCGGGCCCAAGUUCUGUGGCUGUGCGUGGCUCAGUAAACCCAGCAGCCCUGCUGUCAGGCCUUUAAAUUCCUUCUACUUACUCAUGCAGGCGUCCCUUGUGCCUCAGCUGGUAAGAAUCUGCUUGCAGUGUGGGAGACCUGGGUUCAGUCCCUGGGUUGGGA